rnacentral:lncRNA from 1 species
GCUUGCUUGGUGGGGUAGGAGUAGUUGAAGUCGCUGUUGGAACUGUAGCUGCUGCUGUCUUCAUCCGGGGAAAUACUGAAUCGUCCCAUUUCGGCCUUCUUCAUGCUAAGCACUGGGAGGAAUCGGGUGCAGCUAGUAGCGCUGGGCUCCUUUUGUCCUUGGCGGUGGGUGCAGCGGCCCGCGAGUCGGCCUGCGAAAGUAGAGGCGGCGCGUCAGGACCGCAGCGCCAGCCCGCCGCGGUCACGUGACGCCGCCCGGAGGCGCAGCGCGGCUGAUUCAUCCCAGGCCAGGCGAGUGGAAAAGUACCAGCCGCGCGCGAGGGGCGGGGGCGCGCCGAGGGGCGGAAAAGUACAGACGGCGGAGCCGCGGGGAGAACAAAGAUGAUGCCACCGCUGUGUUGCGGCCGUCGAGGCCCCCUACUCCGGCAGAUUUCAACCUGCUUUCACUCUUCAAAACUAGCCGGAGGUCGGCGAGCAGCUCCUUUUCGGGAUGUGCUUUUUGUACGGCCAUGGAAACUGGACUAGCGGAAAGGCUACCUUUUGGCCAGCAAGCCAGGCCCCUUAGAAAGAGGCCCCAGUGGGGAGCCCGGCGCUCCUAAGGCCGUUUGGGAGUCCCCAGUUUUCCACUCGCUGACACGUUGCUUCUCUUAUCCCACCACCGCCGCCCCGGGCAAAGGCACUGCCUUGUCUGAAUGCGGGUCUGAGGCGCUUUCUGCGGAGCCUGGUCCUUUCCCUUCAAUGGUGAUGUGUGUGGUCUUGCUGAGCCAGGCAACUAGGGGGACCCUUCGCUGUGGAAAAAUUGGUGCUGCGGGAAAGGCAAGACUCACUCCCUUGCAGGAAACAAAGACCCCUUAGGAGAGAGAAAUGUUCAUGGAAUGAAUGAAUAAACAAGUUUGACCUA